rnacentral:rRNA from 1 species
ACGGGGGGUGCAAGCGUUAUUCGGAAUUAUUGGGCGUAAAGGGCGCGUAGGCGGUCUUGUCGGUCAGAUGUGAAAGCCCGGGGCUCAACCCUGGAAGUGCAUUUGAAACAGCAAGACUUGAGUACGGGAGAGGAGAGCGGAAUUCCUGGUGUAGAGGUGAAAUUCGUAGAUAUCAGGAGGAACACCGAUGGCGAAGGCAGCUCUCUGGACCGAUACUGACGCUGAGGCGCGAAGGUGUGGGUAGCGAACGGG